UUCGCCCUUAGAGUUUUAUCCUGGCUCAGGACGAACGCUGGCGGCGUGCUUAACACAUGCAAGUCGAACGGAGUACCCUCGAAAGAGAUUUCGGUCAAUGGAGAGGACUACUUAGUGGCGGACGGGUGAGUAACGCGUGAGGAACCUGCCUUUCAGUGGGGGACAACAGUUGGAAACGACUGCUAAUACCGCAUAACGUACUGGUAUCGCAUGGUACUGGUACCAAAGAUUUAUCGCUGAGAGAUGGCCUCGCGUCUGAUUAGCUAGUUGGUAGGGUAACGGCCUACCAAGGCGACGAUCAGUAGCCGGACUGAGAGGUUGGCCGGCCACAUUGGGACUGAGAUACGGCCCAGACUCCUACGGGAGGCAGCAGUGGGGAAUAUUGGGCAAUGGGCGCAAGCCUGACCCAGCAACGCCGCGUGAAGGAAGAAGGCUUUCGGGUUGUAAACUUCUUUUGACAGGGAAGAGCAGAAGACGGUACCUGUCGAAUAAGCCACGGCUAACUACGUGCCAGCAGCCGCGGUAAUACGUAGGUGGCAAGCGUUGUCCGGAUUUACUGGGUGUAAAGGGCGUGUAGCCGGGCUGACAAGUCAGAUGUGAAAUCCGGGGGCUCAACCCCCGAACUGCAUUUGAAACUGUUGGUCUUGAGUAUCGGAGAGGCAGGCGGAAUUCCUAGUGUAGCGGUGAAAUGCGUAGAUAUUAGGAGGAACACCAGUGGCGAAGGCGGCCUGCUGGACGACAACUGACGGUGAGGCGCGAAAGCGUGGGGAGCAAACCAGGAUUAGAUACCCUGGUAGUCCACGCUGUAAACGAUGGAUACUAGGUGUGCGGGGGACUGACCCCCUGCGUGCCGCAGCUAACGCAAUAAGUAUCCCACCUGGGGAGUACGAUCGCAAGGUUGAAACUCAAAGGAAUUGACGGGGGCCCGCACAAGCGGUGGAUUAUGUGGUUUAAUUCGAUGCAACGCGAAGAACCUUACCAGGGCUUGACAUCCUACUAACGAAGUAGAGAUACAUUAGGUACCCUUCGGGGGAAGUAGAGACAGGUGGUGCAUGGUUGUCGUCAGCUCGUGUCGUGAGAUGUUGGGUUAAGUCCCGCAACGAGCGCAACCCUUAUUGUUAGUUGCUACGCAAGAGCACUCUAGCGAGACUGCCGUUGACAAAACGGAGGAAGGUGGGGACGACGUCAAAUCAUCAUGCCCCUUAUGUCCUGGGCUACACACGUAAUACAAUGGCGGUCAACAGAGGGAUGCAAAACCGUGAGGUGGAGCGAACCCCUAAAAGCCGUCCCAGUUCAGAUCGCAGUCUGCAACCCGACUGCGUGAAGUCGGAAUCGCUAGUAAUCGCGGAUCAGCAUGCCGCGGUGAAUACGUUCCCGGGCCUUGCACUCACCGCCCGUCA
rnacentral:rRNA from 1 species